rnacentral:rRNA from 1 species
CCUACGGGAGGCAGCAGUGGGGAAUAUUGCACAAUGGGGGAAACCCUGAUGCAGCGACGCCGCGUGAGUGAAGAAGUAUUUCGUUAUGUAAAGCUCUAUCAGCAGGGAAGAAAAUGACGGUACCUGAGUAAGAAGCCCCGGCUAAAUACGUGCCAGCAGCCGCGGUAAUACGUAUGGGGCAAGCGUUAUCCGGAUUUACUGGGCGUAAAGGGAGCGUAGGCGGCCUGGCAAGUCUGAGGUGAAAGGCCGGGGCUCAACCCCGGGGCUGCAUUGGAAACUGGCAGGCUGGAGUGCAGGAGAGGUAGGUGGAAUUCGUGGUGUAGCGGUGAAAUGCGUAGAUAUUAGGAAGAACACCGAUUGCGAAGGCAGCCUACUAAACGGUGACUGACACUGAGGCUCGAAAGCGUGGGGAGCAAACAGGAUUAGAUACCCCAGUAGUC